rnacentral:rRNA from 1 species
AACGAACGCUGGCGGCAGGCUUAACACAUGCAAGUCGAGCGCCCCGCAAGGGGAGCGGCAGACGGGUGAGUAACGCGUGGGAAUCUACCCAUCUCUACGGAAUAACUCAGGGAAACUUGUGCUAAUACCGUAUACGCCCUUUGGGGGAAAGUUUUAUCGGUGAUGGAUGAGUCCGCGUUGGAUUAGCUAGUAGGUGGGGUAAAGGCCUACCAAGGCGAUGAUCCAUAGCUGGUCUGAGAGGAUGACCAGCCACAUUGGGACUGAGACACGGCCCAAACUCCUACGGGAGGCAGCAGUGGGGAAUAUUGGACAAUGGGCGCAAGCCUGAUCCAGCCAUGCCGCGUGAGUGAUGAAGGCCUUAGGGUUGUAAAGCUCUUUCACCGGAGAAGAUAAUGACGGUAUCCGGAGAAGAAGCCCCGGCUAACUUCGUGCCAGCAGCCGCAGUAAUAC